rnacentral:rRNA from 1 species
GCUGCAGAAGAAGCACCGGCUAACUCCGUGCCAGCAGCCGCGGUAAUACGGAGGGUGCGAGCGUUAAUCGGAAUUACUGGGCGUAAAGCGCAUGCAGGUGGUUUGUUAAGUCAGAUGUGAAAGCCCGGGGCUCAACCUCGGAAUUGCAUUUUGAAACUGGCAAACUAGAGUACUGUAGAGGGGGUAGAAUUUCAGGUGUAGCGGUGAAAUGCGUAGAGAUCUGAAGGAAUACCGGUGGCGAAGGCGGCCCCCUGGACAGAUACUGACACUCAGAUGCGAAAGCGUCGGGGAGCAAACAGGAUUAGAUACCCUGGUAG